rnacentral:rRNA from 1 species
AAGUCGUAACAAGGUUUCCGUAGGUGAACCUGCGGAAGGAUCAUUACCGAGUUAGGGUCCUCUGGGCUCGACCCCCAACCCUUUGUCUACCUUACCAUACGUUGCUUCGGCGGGUCCGUCCUGAAAAGGACCGCCGGAGGGUGGUUUCACCCUCUGGCCCGUACCCGCCGGUGGCCCCCCAUUAAACUCUUGUCAAAAACGUGUCGUCUGAAGUACAAAAUAAAUAACCAAAAACUUUCAACAACGGAUCUCUUGGUUCUGGCAUCGAUGAAGAACGCAGCGAAAUGCGAUAAGUAAUGCGAAUUGCAGAAUCCGUGAGUCAUCGAAUCUUUGAACGCACAUUGCGCCCUUUGGUAUUCCGAAGGGCAUGCCUGUUCAAGCGUCAUUAUCACCCCUCAAGCCCCGGCUUGGUGUUGGGCCCGCGGUGGUCGUUCGCGACUACCCGCCCCAAAGAUAGUGACGGCGCCCCAGAGGGAACCGGUACGAGGAGCUUUCACGAGCAUGUGCCCGGGACGACUCUGCGGGCGACGGUCUUUUUUAUAACUUUUUAAGUGUUGACCUCGGAUCAGGCAGGAAUACCCGCUGAACUUAAGCAUAUCAAUAAGCGGAGGAAAAGAAACCAACAGGGAUUGCCUUAGUAACGGCGAGUGAAGCGGCAACAGCUCAAUUUGGAAUUCUGGCUUUUCGGAGCCCGAGUUGUAAUUUGUAGAGGAUGUUUCGGGUACCGCAACGACUUANAUUUCUUKGAGCAGACAGUCAGUGAGAGAGAGAGUGCGUCCCGUAGUCACUGUAGGUAGCAUGCAUAACUAACUCGCUGAAUGGAUCGAUUUGGGAAUGCAGCCCAAAAAAAAUGGUAAAUAACUUUUAUAUAUAAAUAUAUGCCAGACACAGAUAGCGCACAAGCAGAUUGAUCGAAAGAAGAAAAACAAUCUGAAAAGAGAGUUAAUCAGUCUGUGAAAUUAUUGAAAGGAAAGGAAUGGCAACCAGCCUUGCGUGCGGGGGUUGGUUCUGCCUUCCUUCUGGGCGGCUUCCUCGUAUCCAGCCCAACCUCGGUUUGGGUGGUCGGUUAAAGAACUUCCGAAGGAAUCUAUCCCCGGGAAGGAUGAUAGCCCUCGCUGUCAUUCAUCCUACCCGGCCCGAGGAACGAACUUCGGCUCGGACGGAGGCGUAAGGGAUGUCAGCGACC